rnacentral:sRNA from 1 species
GCCGGCUGGGGAGCCCACGCCUGUGAUCCCAGCAGCUGGGAGGCUGAGGCUGGAGGAUCGCGAGUUCAGAGCCAGCCUCAGCAAUGGUGAGGCCCUGAACAACUCGGCGAGACCCUGUCUCUA